rnacentral:rRNA from 1 species
GAUGAACGCUAGCGGCAGGCCUAAUACAUGCAAGUCGAACGGUGUCUUCGGACAUAGUGGCGCACGGGUGCGUAACACGUAUGCAACCUACCUUACAUUGGGGGAUAGCCUUUCGAAAGGGAGAUUAAUACCGCAUAAGACAGUAACUAGGCAUCUAGUAGCUGUUAAAGAUUUAUCGAUGUAAGCUGGGCAUGCGUCCAAUUAGCUAGUUGGUGAGGUAACGGCUCACCAAGGCAAUGAUUGGUAGGGGAACUGAGGGGUCAAUCCCCCACACUGGCACUGAGAUACGGGCCAGACUCCUACGGGAGGCAGCAGUAGGGAAUAUUGGGCAAUGGACGCAAGUCUGACCCAGCCAUGCCGCGUGCGGGAUGAAGGCGUUAUGCGUUGUAAACUGCUUUUAUACAGGAAGAAACGACUCUUGCGAGAGGCAUUGACGGUACUGUAUGAAUAAGCACCGGCUAACUCCGUGCCAGCCGCCGCGGUAAGAC